UUUUUUUCAGCUCCGCUGGAUUACCACGCAAACGGCAAGACCAGCUGAAGAACAUGCCUCCCAAUGACAUCACAAUCGACUCACCCACUGAGGAUGUCACUUCCAACUCUCUCUGAUGAUGUCAAUUCUAUUCCAGAACCCACCUACAAAAGAUAUAAGUUUCUGUUCUAGCCACUCUGAUCCAUCCUCUUCCUAUUUUAGUCAUAUUUAUAACUCAGUCUCACCCUGUUAACUCAGUUCCAUUGGGAACUCAGUUCUGUAUGGACAUGCUUGAUUUCUGAUUUAAAUUUUUUCAGUAUAAGGGGUGGCCAUUCCCAAACCUU